UCAGCCAAUCAUUUGGUCAGCCACAGUGUGAAGGCUUCCAGAGUACUUGGGGUGAGUGCAUGUAGGUGCUGGGAUGAAGUCAGCAUCUCUCUUCCAAUCUCUGCUCCGGUAUAGCGAUGGCUAUUUAAAAGCUAUGAAGGUCAUCUUCUAGGCAUACCAUAGAAUUACGUAAUAACGGUAAUUAUCUUGGGUGGCUUAUAAGUGGUCACUGCUUAAAGUCCCUGAAGAGAAAUUCUGAACACUUUUUAAUAAUGGUAAUCUCACUAAAUAAAUACGCAACUUAAAACAUGGACAAAGAUGAAGAGUCACCCAUUUCAGGUGCAUGGCAUGGCUUGGCCUCCGUCUCUCCCAGAUAGAUCCCCUAGGCUCAGCAGAAAUAGACGACUCCAUACCUACAGGGCUUUCUCUUCUCUACCUUAUCUGGGGA
rnacentral:lncRNA from 1 species